rnacentral:rRNA from 1 species
CGCGUAGGAAUCUACCCAGUAGUGGGGGACAACAUGGUGAAACCAAUGCUAAUACCGCAUACGCCCUAAGGGGGAAAGCGGGGCCGUUAUGGCCUCGUGCUAUUGGAUGAGCCUGCGUAAGAUUAGCUAGUUGGUGGGGUAAAGGCCUACCAAGGCGACGAUCUUUAGCUGGUCUGAGAGGAUGAUCAGCCACACUGGGACUGAGACACGGCCCAGACUCCUACGGGAGGCAGCAGUGGGGAAUAUUGCGCAAUGGGCGAAAGCCUGACGCAGCCAUGCCGCGUGUGUGAAGAAGGCCUU